rnacentral:tRNA from 1 species
GAUGAUGGUUGAUUGGUUUAAAGCGUAGGAUUACCACCUCGGAAGUCCGAGGUGCGAAUCCUCGCCAUCAUCG